rnacentral:lncRNA from 1 species
CAUCCCAUGGAAGAUAAGGAUAAGGAAAAGAUAGUUUCAGUUCAAUUUUCAAUGUUGGUUGAUCCUUAUCAUCAAUUCAAAUCAAAUUUAAAUUAAAUUUUAAUCCAAAUUUUUUUUUCAUCUUAUAAACUUAGAGAGGGGUUGACUAAAAUUAGAUUUAUAUAAAAAAUCUCAUACAAAAAUACUUAUAUGUGUGGAGAAAGG